UGUAUCGUCCUUCUUUCAGGAGAUUCUACGAGCAGUAUGGGACAGGUCCUCGAGUUAUCGACCUUUCCAAGCCAUACUUUGUUUCUACAUGUCAGAGAUUUGUGGAGAAGUAUGAAGAGUUAAGAAGCAAGUGUGAGCUGAAGGAGUCUCCCCUGUUUGAAGAGACCGGGAAGGCUUUGCUUGCAGAGGGGGUUAUCUUAAGAAAGAGAGGAGCUCUCCCAGCGCCUGCCGAGUCCAGGAAUCCAGUGCUGGAGCUGAAGCUUAUAGACAUGUUGGCAGAGCAGCAGUCGGUCCAGGAGACAUGAAGGCCACGGCACAUCACAGGACAUGAGCGUCGCCCAAAAAGAUUCUGGGAUGAGCUGCUGGUCCUCACUCUGCAUUACGUUGUGUUUCAAGAUGUGAUUGGAUUUCUGCUUCUCUUGUAGACUGUGUCAGAAGUGUUAAAUCCCAGUGAUGAGGUUACAUGAACGUGUCAGACUGCUGCAGUGGCACCAUGAGCCACAUUCAGUCGCAUUAUUCAGAGUUGGUCUUGAGUGAAAGGAGAAGUUCCUCAACUGAGUUUGUUAAUGUG